CUCUGCCCCGCUCCGUUUCGGUCCCCCUCCCUCUAGCCCCUUCCCCUACACUCUCCACUCCCUUCUGCCCCUUCCUCCGACGGGCUCCUGUUUCACCUCCCCGCCGCUCGGGCCGCAGGAACCAGCCCCGCUCGGCGAAGACAGAGGAGGAAGCGCUGGCAGCAGCGGCUGCGGCAUCCAAUAUGGCGGACUCGAGUCGGGCCGCGCAGUUCGGGGAUCCGCGGCGCCGGCUAGCGCGC
rnacentral:lncRNA from 1 species